rnacentral:rRNA from 1 species
GACGAACGCUGGCGGCGUGCUUAACACAUGCAAGUCGAACGGAAAGGCCCUGCUUUUGUGGGGUGCUCGAGUGGCGAACGGGUGAGUAACACGUGAGUAACCUGCCCUUGACUUUGGGAUAACUUCAGGAAACUGGGGCUAAUACCGGAUAGGAGCUCCUGCUGCAUGGUGGGGGUUGGAAAGUUUCGGCGGUUGGGGAUGGACGCGCGGCUUAUCAGCUUGUUGGUGGGGUAGUGGCUUACCAAGGCUUUGACGGGUAGCCGGCCUGAGAGGGUGACCGGCACCAUUGGGACUGAGAUAGGGCCCAGACUCCUACAGGAGGCAGCAGUGGGGGAAAUUGCACAGUGGGGAGGAGCCUGAUGCAGCAACGCCGCGUGCGGGAUGACGGCCUUCGGGUUGUAAACCGCUUUCGCCUGGGACGAAGCGUGAGUGACGGUAGUGGGUAAAGAAGCACCGGCUAACUACGUG